AUACAGAGACUGCAAGCGUUAUUCGGAUUCACUGGGCGUAAAGGGUGCGCAGGCGGCCGUGUGUGUUAGGCGUGAAAGCCCGAGGCUCAACCUCGGAAUUGCACCUAAAACUACACGGCUAGAGUACUGGAGAGGGUAGCGGAAUUCACGGUGUAGCAGUGAAAUGCGUAGAUAUCGUGAGGAACACCAAUGGCGAAGGCAGCUACCUGGACAGUAACUGACGCUCAGGCACGAAAGCGUGGGGAGC
rnacentral:rRNA from 1 species